CGGUAACAGCUCAAAUUUGAAAUCUGCCGCAAGGCCGAGUUGUAAUUUGUAGAAGAUGCUUUGGGUAUGGCCCCGGUCUAAGUUCGUUGGAACACGACGUCAUAGAGGGUGAGAGCCCCGUCUGGUUGGAUACCGAUCCUCUGUAAAGCUCCUUCGAC
rnacentral:rRNA from 1 species